CCUACGGGAGGCAGCAGUAAGGAAUAUUGGACAAUGCUCGCAAGAGUGAUCCAGCCAUGCCGCGUGCAGGAAGAAUGCCCUAUGGGUAGUAAACUGCUUUUGAACUAGAGAAAACCCCAGUACGUGUACUGGGCUGAUAGUAUAGUUAGAAUAAGCAUCGGCUAACUUCGUGCCAGCAGCCGCGGUAAGACGAAGGAUGCAAGCGUUAUCCGGAUUCAUUGGGUUUAAAGGGAGCGUAGGUGGACUGAUAAGUCAGUGGUGAAAUCUCCGAGCUUAACUCGGAAAUUGCCAUUGAUACUGUUGGUCUUGAGUACAGUUGCUGUGGGCGGAAUAUGACAUGUAGUGGUGAAAUACAUAGAGAUGUCAUAGAACACCGAUUGCGAAGGCAGCUCACAAAGCUGUAACUGACACUGAGGCUCGAAAGUGCGGGGAUCAAACAGGAUUAGAUACCCUGGUAGUCCGCACCGUAAACGAUGAUUACUCGCUGCUAGGGGGCAACCUUUAGUGGCUUAGCGAAAGCGANAAGUAAUCCACCGUGGAGGACGCGCGACGUAGAACGUAAGUAGAGUAGAGCGNGAGAGNGCGACGGACGACACGAGGGAGGUUAGG
rnacentral:rRNA from 1 species